AGGCGACUAAGAACAAUGCAUCAUAAGCAAGUGUGGUUUUAGCCGUGGCGGCACAGGCUAAUUUUAGAGUCGCAUGGUGCAUCCUUUAUAAAGCCAAUCCUGUCUCGUUUAUUUUGGGAGGAAUUCCAGAUUUUUCAGAUGUUAGAUUUUCUUCUUAUAAGGCUCGAUUUGCCAGUGAAACCCCAAUGUAUUCAGAAA